UACAGAGGGUGCGAGCGUUAAUCGGAAUUACUGGGCGUAAAGCGUGCGUAGACGGUUACAUAAGUCGGGUGUGAAAGCCCCGGGCUCAACCUGGGAAUUGCAUUCGAGACUGCGUAGCUAGGGUGCGGAAGAGGGAAGCGGAAUUUCCGGUGUAGCGGUGAAAUGCGUAGAUAUCGGAAGGAACACCAGUGGCGAAGGCGGCUCUCUGGACCACUACUGACGCUGAGGCGCGAAAGCUAGGGGAGCAAACAGG
rnacentral:rRNA from 1 species